GAGUUGUUUGGGAAUGCUGCUCAAAAUGGGAGGUAAACCCCUUCUAAAGCUAAAUACCGGCCAGAGACCGAUAGCGCACAAGUAGAGUGAUCGAAAGAUGAAAAGCACUUUGAAAAGAGAGUUAAAAAGCACGUGAAAUUGUUGAAAGGGAAGCGCUUGCGACCAGACUCGCGCCCGUCGGAUCAGCCGUCGCUCGUCGGCGGUGCACUCCGGCGGGCUCGGGCCAGCAUCAGUUCGCCUGGGGGGAGAAAGGCGGCGGGAAUGUGGCUCUACGGAGUGUUAUAGCCCGCCGUGCAAUACCCCCGGGCGGACUGAGGACCGCGCGUAUGCAAGGAUGCUGGCGUAAUGGUCGUCAGUGACCCGUCUUGAAACACG
rnacentral:rRNA from 1 species